rnacentral:rRNA from 1 species
GAUGAACGCUGGCGGCGUGCCUAAUACAUGCAAGUCGAGCGAACAGAUAAGGAGCUUGCUCCUUUGACGUUAGCGGCGGACGGGUGAGUAACACGUGGGUAGCCUACCUAUAAGACUGGAAUAACUCCGGGAAACCGGGGCUAAUGCCGGAUAACAUUUAGAACCGCAUGGUUCUAAAGUGAAAGAUGGUUUUGCUAUCACUUAUAGAUGGACCCGCGCCGUAUUAGCUAGUUGGUAAGGUAACGGCUUACCAAGGCAACGAUACGUAGCCGACCUGAGAGGGUGAUCGGCCACACUGGAACUGAGACACGGUCCAGACUCCUACGGGAGGCAGCAGUAGGGAAUCUUCCGCAAUGGGCGAAAGCCUGACGGAGCAACGCCGCGUGAGUGAUGAAGGUCUUCGGAUCGUAAAACUCUGUUAUUAGGGAAGAACAAAUGUGUAAGUAACUGUGCACGUCUUGACGGUACCUAAUCAGAAAGCCACGGCUAACUACGUG